rnacentral:rRNA from 1 species
AACGAACGCUGGCGGCAUGCCUAACACAUGCAAGUCGAACGAGACCUUCGGGUCUAGUGGCGCACGGGUGCGUAACGCGUGGGAACCUGCCCUUAGGUUCGGAAUACCUCCCCGAAAGGGGGGCUAAUACCGGAAAAUGUCUUCGGACCAAAGAUUUAUCGCCUUUGGAUGGGCCCGCGUUGGAUUAGCUAGUUGGUAGGGUAAAAGCCUACCAAGGCGACGAUCCAUAGCUGGUCUGAGAGGAUGAUCAGCCACACUGGGACUGAGACACGGCCCAGACUCCUACGGGAGGCAGCAGUGGGGAAUAUUGGACAAUGGGCGAAAGCCUGAUCCAGCAAUGCCGCGUGAGUGAUGAAGGCCUUAGGGUUGUAAAGCUCUUUUACCCGGGAUGAUAAUGACAGUACCGGGAGAAUAAGCUCCGGCUAACUCCGUG